UAAGUGUACUGGAAAGUGCACUUG
rnacentral:misc_RNA from 1 species